UUAUCCAGAAUUGAACCACUAGCUACGGACCUUCAAAAUGCAAUGUUGUGUUUGGGGGUGCAAGGCCCAAUAUCGGAAAGGAGGAGGGUUAGGGUUUUUCCGAUUCCCUACUGGAGAGAACGAAAUUGCUCAAAGUCAAAGGAAAACUUGGAUAAAAAUGGUGAAGAGAGAAGACCCCGAACCAGAUCUGCCUUCCCGUGUGGGUGGUAAAUUGGUACUCCAAAUGGGAAAGGACUGGCACCCUACUAUCUCUCGCAUUUGUGGGAGGCACUUUGUUUUGAAGAAACCAAACCUGCAUCCGGACCACCCUGACUUUGCCCCAUCCCUCUGACUUUGCCCCAUCCCUCAUCCCUCUUCGCCCAGAGGACUAUGCCUUGAGUCCGAACACAGCUCAGACAGAAGGGAAAAGAAACCUGCAGAGCUAUGACAGGGCGGUGAAGAAGAAGAAGUGCCUUGACCUGAGUGAGGUUGGAGGUGCUGACCCGAGGGACAGUUAUGCUGACACCACAGAAGAAACUGAAGAGCAGGACCUGGGCACCUGUGUAUCGUGUGAGGUCCUGAGGAAGUCCUUAAAUGAUUUGCAGUCCAGGCAUGAUGCUCUGCAAGUCGAAGCUGUCGAUCUCAGGGCGGAGAGAGACUUUUAUAAAGAGAACGCAUCUCAAUCCUCUCUCUUUGUUGACACCUUUACAGACAGAGACAAUCAAACGCAUACAGUGAGAGAAGUGCCUAACAUGGCUAAACCAAAUGGUAUGAACCAACAAUGUACAGGGAUGGUUGAGGAGCCAUGUCUUAUGGAGGUUGAGGGGCCAUGUUCUGUGAAGGUUGAGGAGCUUUGUCCUGUGAAGGUUGAGGGGGACUAUGAUCAAGUGUUGAUUAAGGAAGAGGAAUAACAGGUCCAAAUAGAACUUUGUAGCCCCUUGGCUAGUCAGGACAAAGUGACCCAUGUCUCCCAGGAUAAACCUACCCAGCAUAACAACAUUAUGAAGCCAACCAGGCGACCAUGUGUGUUAGCCCAGGAUAAACCUAUCCAGCUUGCCAAAGCCGUAGUAGAAAGCCACCUAAUGACUAACCAUCUGCCUGGCAGCCAAACCACUGCUGAGCCUUUGCAGAAGACUCCUCUGUCAGCUCAAAGGAGACCUGUUGCAGGCAAACAAAUUCAGAGAAGCAUAAACACAGAGAGGGAUGAGUUGCUUUGGCUGGGCUACAUGAAGUGGAAUGUGCGUCUUCCAGCAAGCACAAUUAGAACCGCACACAAGUUUCAGACGCCUAGGGCAACAGUGCAAUACCUUCUACACGCAGUCUUCUCCCAAUGUGAACUCGCUACCAGCAAUCUCAAGGGCAUUCCUGCACUGGGCCUUAACAAACUGGACCCGGACAAACUUUCUGCCAUAAGACAGUUUGUCGCCACUAAGUUUCGCCGUUUAGACAUGCGUCAAUGUGGUAAAGACUGGGUAAAGUGCCGACGCCAGAUAACCAGCAUGCUCAGGAACAUUCGGAAGGAGGACAGGAAGACGAGGGGGCUCUCAGGAAACCUUUGUAUGAUAGAGGAAGUGGUAUCGGAUCAGAGUUUGCCCAGUCAGCCAUCGCCUCCCUCAUUCCCCUCGAUCUCCCAACAGCACACAGCCGCCUUCUACAGCCCAACAGAAGAAGAAGAGAUCCUCUGUCUGGAGAGUUAGGUUACACAAUAUCUGUAAUGAUGUUUGCAUUUUCCUGUAAUAAACAGUUUGUUGGGAGUAAAAAAUAUAA